GGCGGCGUGCUUAACACAUGCAAGUCGAGCGGAAAGGCCUUCGGGGUACUCGAGCGGCGAACGGGUGAGUAACACGUGAGCAACCUGCCCUUAGCUCUGGGAUAGCUCCGGGAAACCGGAAUUAAUACCGGAUAUGACCCCCGCCGACAUCGGCUGUGGUGGAAAGAUUUAUCGGCUAGGGAUGGGCUCGCGGCCUAUCAGCUUGUUGGUGGGGUAAUGGCCUACCAAGGCGACAACGGGUAGCCGGCCUGAGAGGGCGACCGGCCACACUGGGACUGAGACACGGCCCAGACUCCUACGGGAGGCAGCAGUGGGGAAUAUUGCGCAAUGGGCGAAAGCCUGACGCAGCGACGCCGCGUGGGGGAUGAAGGCCUUCGGGUUGUAAACCCCUUUCGGCAGGGACGAANCGAAAGUGACGGUNCCUGCA
rnacentral:rRNA from 1 species